rnacentral:rRNA from 1 species
GACGAACGCUGGCGGCGUGCCUAAUACAUGCAAGUAGAACGAGUUGCGAACGGGUGAGUAAUGUGUAGGAACCUGCCUCAUAGCGGGGGAUAACUAUUGGAAAGUUAGUUAAUACCGCAUAUCAUGUAAUGGACCUGCGUUGUAUUAGCUAGUUGGUGGGGUAACGGCUCACCAAGGCGACGAUCCGUAGCUGGUUUGAGAGGACGACCAGCCACACUGGGACUGAGACACGGCCCAGACUCCUACGGGAGGCAGCAGUGGGGAAUUUUGCACAAUGGGGGAAAGCCUGAUCCAGCCAUCCCGCGUGUGCGAUGAAGGCCUUCGGGUUGUAAAGCACUUUUAGCAGGAAGGCGGUACCUACAGAAUAAGCACCGGCUAACUACGUGCCAGCAGCCGCGGUAAUAC